CCCACGAAAGCAGCAGCGCUCCUCGUCGAAACCGAGCUCGAACAAACAAAAUCCAACCCGCGGCGAAGCGAAUCGCGCGAUGGCGACGGUGGCGAUGGACGUCUCGCAGCCCUCGGCACUGCCGGCGGCCAGCGCCAAGGGGGCGGCGGCGGCGGCAGCGAAGGGGAGUGGCGUGGGAGAGGGGCUGGGGCGGUACUACAAGCAUCACAUCCACGACCUUUGCCUCACGAUCCCGCAUAAGAAAAACGACCUCCGCCGCCAGGAGGCCCAGCGCAACGUCAUCAACUCCCGAGUUAAAUUUCAUCGGGAAGAGUUGAAUCUGCUUCAACAACCGGCUUCGCAUGUUGGUGAGGUUGUGCAGGUGAUGAGCAAGUCAAAGGUUCUAGUGAAGGUGCAUCCAGAAGGCAAAUAUCUUGUAGAUGUUGAUAAAAGUAUAGAUAUUGCAAAGCUAACGCCUUCCCCAAGAGUUGCUCUUCGAAGUGGCAGCUAUAUGCUUCAUGUUAUCCUGCCUAGUAAAGUAGAUCCAUUGGUUAAUCUUAUGAAGGUUGAGAAGGUUCCUGAUUCUACAUAUGAUAUGAUUGGUGGUCUUGAUCAGCAAAUUAAAGAGAUCAAAGAGGUGAUCGAGCUUCCAAUUAAGCAUCCUGAGUUGUUCGAGAGUCUUGGGAUUGCCCAACCAAAGGGUGUCAUUCUCUAUGGCCCUCCAGGUACUGGAAAAACUUUACUUGCACGUGCGGUUGCUCAUCACACAGACUGCACCUUCAUUAGGGUGUCAGGUUCUGAGCUGGUUCAGAAGUACAUUGGAGAGGGUUCCCGGAUGGUGCGCGAACUUUUUGUGAUGGCUAGGGAACAUGCACCAUCCAUUAUAUUUAUGGACGAAAUAGACUCAAUUGGAUCUGCUAGGAUGGGGUCAGCAGGUGGCGGUGGUGACAGUGAGGUUCAGCGAACCAUGCUUGAGCUUCUGAACCAACUUGAUGGUUUUGAAUCAACAAACAAGAUUAAGGUUCUUAUGGCGACAAACAGAAUGGACAUAUUGGAUCAAGCCCUCCUGAGGCCUGGCCGCAUUGACAGGAAGAUUGAAUUUCCAAAUCCGAGUGAAACUGUAAGUGUUGGACUGAGGAUAAAACCCCCACCCCUUCCACUAUAACACCUGUCCGGUCUCAGCACUUCGGUCUCAGCGAACGCAGCCAGGGAAAUCGCGCAGCGGAAAUGCGUGGCUGGGAGGGAUCGAACCCAGGACCUCGGCUCUGAUACCAUGUAGGAAAGGUAGGAUGCGUAUAAUGUGGUCGAUAUAUUGCAAUGAGCCCCUUGGGCGGUAUAUAUAGGAGUACAAGGCUUGGAGGGCAAGGCACCUCCCCUAGAGAUAAGGAAGGCUAUCACGGGAUUACAUCAAUCCUAAACUACCAUAUCUGGAGUUGCCUAAUAUACUCUAACAUCUCGUGUUGAUAUUCUGAAGAUCCACUCCAGAAGAAUGAACUUGAUGCGUGACAUUGAUCUUAAAAAGAUCGCUGUGAAGAUGAAUGGAGCAUCAGGAGCAGAGCUGAAGGCUGUUUGCACAGAAGCGGGAAUGUUUGCCCUUCGCGAGAGAAGGGUGCACGUCACCCAGGAGGAUUUCGAGAUGGCAGUGGCGAAGGUGAUGAAGAAGGAUACAGAGAAGAACAUGUCCCUGCGGAAACUCUGGAAGUGAGAAGCUCACCUUUUGCCCCAUAGUCAACGCUUACAUGCCGAAACAAUUGAAGGCCUGAAGCGAAUGGCCGUGCAUUGUUGGAUUAGCUGUAGUGAGAUUUUGAAAAUGUUUGUCAAACCUGUCAAUGUCGUGUAACAGCUUUACUAGUUGAAUUUUCGCUUAUUUGUCCAUCAAAGAGGAGUGGCCGAGUGGAGAUGGAAAUCAAUUUUUUACA